UCCGCAUCUUUCUGUCACUGGUAUUUAAAUUUUUGUGAUUUUUUUUAAUAAAAAGUGAGUUUUGUGUACACUAUGUUUGUUCGUAAACCCUUGUUUUUGGCAUCGCUCAGCUCCACAAUAAUUGAAUGGCUGGUGAAUAUUCGCAAGUCUGACGGGGAGGUUUAGCUUUUUUGAGAGGACAUGUGUGUGUGUGUGUGCAGACAUUUUACGAGGGGUCAAUGCGGGGCUCAAGAUGUGAAAGAACUUUUCUUCAGCUGAAUAUUUUUUCUAUAGAGGAAUAUAUUAUAGUCUCAACACUUUCGGUUGGUCCCUCUCAUGCUAUACAUGAUGAUAUCGUAUGCCUUAGUAUUUCAGAGGAUUGUCCAAGUUUUGAAGCAAUCUAGAAACUGGAAUUUGCUUGUAAAAAAUGAAAUACUGUAAUAUGGUCUAAAGACUCUGGUCUGUCCUCUUGUAUCUCACAAUGUAACAACUGUAAAUAUAGAUUGUCCUAGUUCAUGAAACACUCUGGAAAUGGCAACGUUCUGUUACAGAUAGAAUAUUACAAGACGUAUUCUUAACACUCGGAUAACUUCCCAUAUGUUGAUGGAACAGCAGCAGUAGAUGGUCUUGACUUGUUCACAAAUCUCAGGAUUAAUAGAGCUACCAGUAUUUUUGUUAAAAGUAUUUAUUUUGCUGCUUCUGGCUAUUGUUUCCCUCCAGCUUCUCAUCUUCAACACCAUUUAGCGAACAUUCCUCCUACUCCUUCAAAAUAUACCAGAAGUUUGGGUCUGUAUAUUACGUGCAUAGGGAGUCUACUUUUAUUCUGGUAUUGUUUUAAAACUUUGAUAAUCUGGACAAACUUUACACUCUAAACAUGUCACUGUACUGCAAAAAAAGUUAUAAAGCUGAUACUUUAUCAUCCAUGAUUUCUAUAAUCAUACUUCUCUAUUCUUUUGCAAAAAUAUUUUUAUUAUGCCAGAAAAAUUUUGUUUGUUUAGAUAAUGCACAACUUUACAAUAAUUAUUAGCAGUAAUAUAACUAUAAUAACUAUAAAAGCAGUCAUUAUUGCUUACAUUGAUUGCUAUGACAUCUUUCAUAUUUUUUAAUUUUUAUUGGUUCUAACAACCCAUAGAAUUUCCAGAUUAUCACAGUUCUUUCAUAUAUUUUACUUGCGCAAAAGCGUCACUAAUGUGGUCAUAUAAUUACAUUAUUUUUUUAAUGGUAUCAAAACUUUGUUCUUACAAUUUAUAAUUCAUUGCUUUCAACUGUUAUGGUAAAUGAGUGUGCCAUUUUUUUCUGAUAUUAAUUUAUAUAUUACUAUUUCCAAUUUAAAUUUUUCAUACAUGGAAAGAAAUAUAUUUAAUAUGCAUAUAAACUAUACUGUGGCAUAACUUUUAAGUUUUUAAAAUUGUUUUUUUUCAGUGAAUAUCUUUCCUCCUUGGGACUUCUUCAAAAUUAAUAAUUACAGUUCAAAAUAGACUAAUUUUAUUUUAUAAUGAAGAAUUAAUAUUUUUUCAUUAAAAAUUAUAGUCUUAUUUUUUUUAUUAAAGCAACUAAAUUAACUACCUAAAUUAUUAUCUAAUACAUUUACUCAGUUUAUUUAGCCGGUUUCAAAGCAAUGUUCUUUUUAAUAAAUGGUAUUUUGGGGUAUUUGUAUUCAUAGAGCUACUUUUAAAAAUUAAAAUAAGCACUCUAGUGAUUUUUAAUUGUUUUUCAU
rnacentral:lncRNA from 1 species